UAUAUACUCCCUCCGUCUGAAAAAGCUUGUCCCAAGCUUAUUUCUCAAAUGGAUAUAUCUAGCACUUGCUAGAUACAUCCAUUUGAGGGACAAACUUCUUCGAACGGAGGGAGUAUUAU
rfam:Triticum aestivum genome assembly, contig: Triticum_aestivum_CS42_TGACv1_scaffold_147236_2BS